AGUGAACGCUGGCGGUAGGCCUAACACAUGCAAGUCGAACGGCAGCACAGUAAGAGCUUGCUCUUACGGGUGGCGAGUGGCGGACGGGUGAGGAAUACAUCGGAAUCUACUUUUUCGUGGGGGAUAACGUAGGGAAACUUACGCUAAUACCGCAUACGACCUACCGGUGAAAGCAGUGGAUCUUCGGACCUUUCGCGAUUGAAUGAGCCGAUGUCGGAUUAGCUAGUUGGCGGGGUAAAGGCCCACCAAGGCGACGAUCCGUAGCUGGUCUGAGAGGAUGAUCGGCCACACGGGAACUGAGACACGGUCCAGACUCCUACGGGAGGCAGCAGUGGGGAAUAUUGGACAAUGGGCGCAAGCCUGAUCCAGCCAUACCGCGUGGGUGAAGAAGGCCUUCGGGUUGUAAAGCCCUUUUGUUGGGAAAGAAAAGCAGCAGGUUAAUACCCCGCUGUUCUGACGGUACCCAAAGAAUAAGCACCGGCUAACUUCGUG
rnacentral:rRNA from 1 species